rnacentral:siRNA from 1 species
CUACAACGACAUGAUAGUGCUUUA